AUGCACGCUGGCGGCGUGCCUCAUACAUGCAAGUCACGCGAACAGAUGAGGAGCUUGCUCCUCUGACGUUAGCGGCGGACGGGUGAGUAACACGUGGAUAACCUACCUAUAAGACUGGGAUAACUUCGGGAAACCGGAGCUAAUACCGGAUAAUAUAUUGAACCGCAUGGUUCAAUAGUGAAAGACGGUUUUGCUGUCACUUAUAGAUGGAUCCGCGCCGCAUUAGCUAGUUGGUAAGGUAACGGCUUACCAAGGCAACGAUGCGUAGCCGACCUGAGAGGGUGAUCGGCCACACUGGAACUGAGACACGGUCCAGACUCCUACGGGAGGCAGCAGUAGGGAAUCUUCCGCAAUGGGCGAAAGCCUGACGGAGCAACGCCGCGUGAGUGAUGAAGGUCUUCGGAUCGUAAAACUCUGUUAUUAGGGAAGAACAAAUGUGUAAGUAACUAUGCACGUCUUGACGGUACCUAAUCAGAAAGCCACGGCUAACUACGUG
rnacentral:rRNA from 1 species